CUUUAACGCUGGCGGCAGGCCUAACACAUGCAAGUCGAGCGGAUGAAGGGAGCUUGCUCCUGGAUUCAGCGGCGGACGGGUGAGUAAUGCCUAGGAAUCUGCCUGGUAGUGGGGGAUAACGUCCGGAAACGGGCGCUAAUACCGCAUACGUCCUGAGGGAGAAAGUGGGGGAUCUUCGGACCUCACGCUAUCAGAUGAGCCUAGGUCGGAUUAGCUAGUUGGUGGGGUAAAGGCCUACCAAGGCGACGAUCCGUAACUGGUCUGAGAGGAUGAUCAGUCACACUGGAACUGAGACACGGUCCAGACUCCUACGGGAGGCAGCAGUGGGGAAUAUUGGACAAUGGGCGAAAGCCUGAUCCAGCCAUGCCGCGGGUGUGAAGAAGGUCUUCGGAUUGUAAAGCACUUUAAGUUGGGAGGAAGGGCAGUAAGUUAAUACCUUGCUGUUUUGACGUUACCAACAGAAUAAGCACCGGCUAACUUCGUG
rnacentral:rRNA from 1 species